CCCGUCCUCGGUAGCGUGGUGCUCGUCCUCCUGGGAGGAGCCCGGUGAGGCCCUGUGGCUGAGACUCGGGCACCUGGCUCUGCUCUGGCCCCCCUAGAAGACCCUGACGCCUAGUCUCUGGAUUCAGACCUCGCCUGCAAAAACAACGUGACCACAUCAGCUCAGCCUGCACCACCAACUGCUCUGAGAUGAGGCGUGAGGUUCCCUUUGGAGGUGCAGGCAUCUUCAUCCAUCCUCAGCACCCGCCACCCCAGGAGCCAGCCUGCAGAGCCAAGCAUGCGGCAAGCCCUCCGUCUACAUCCUGUGACUACAUUAUUAUUAUGAAGCCUGCCCUAAUGCACAUAUUAGGCUGGAAGGGGGUGAUGUGGAAUAUAUCCCACCGCUGGCUGUGGCACUGGAGCCAGCCCAGGAGCCUCCCUUCUCCAAGAGGGGCUUGGAGGGGAGCCGUGGCACCCCACAAGUACUAUCCUGCUGGCUGGCUGCAGAGGAGU
rnacentral:lncRNA from 1 species